UACGAAGGGGGCUAGCGUUGCUCGGAAUCACUGGGCGUAAAGCGCACGUAGGCGGAUUGUUAAGUCAGGGGUGAAAUCCUGGAGCUCAACUCCAGAACUGCCUUUGAUACUGGCGAUCUCGAGUCCGGGAGAGGUGAGUGGAACUGCGAGUGUAGAGGUGAAAAUUCGUAGAUAUUCGCAAGAACACCAGUGGCGAAGGCGGCUCACUGGCCCGGUACUGACGCUGAGGUGCGAAAGCGUGGGGGAGCAAACAGG
rnacentral:rRNA from 1 species